rnacentral:piRNA from 1 species
UGGUAAUUAGGAACUUAAUGCUGAG